rnacentral:rRNA from 1 species
GACGAACGCUGGCGGCGUGCUUAACACAUGCAAGUCGAACGGAAAGGCCCUGCUUUUGUGGGGUGCUCGAGUGGCGAACGGGUGAGUAACACGUGAGUAACCUGCCCUUGACUUUGGGAUAACUUCAGGAAACUGGGGCUAAUACCGGAUAGGAGCUCCUGCUGCAUGGUGGUGGUUGGAAAGUUUCGGCGGUUGGGGAUGGACUCGCGGCUUAUCAGCUUGUUGGUGGGGUAGUGGCUUACCAAGGCUUUGACGGGUAGCCGGCCUGAGAGGGUGACCGGCGACAUUGGGACUGAGAUACGGCGCAGACUCCUACGGGAGGCAGCAGUGGGGAAUAUGGCACAAUGGGGGGAAGCCUGAGGCAGCAACGCCGCGUGCGGGAUGACGGCCUUCGGGUUGUAAACCGCUUUCGCCUGUGACGAAGCGUGAGUGACGGUAAUGGGUAAAGAAGCACCGGCUAACUACGUG